rnacentral:rRNA from 1 species
CCAGACAGCCAGGAUGUUGGCUUAGAAGCAGCCAUCAUUUAAAGAAAGCGUAAUAGCUCACUGGUCGAGUCGGCCUGCGCGGAAGAUGUAACGGGGCUAAACCAUGCACCGAAGCUGCGGCAGCGACGCUUAUGCGUUGUUGGGUAGGGGAGCGUUCUGUAAGCCUGCGAAGGUGUGCUGUGAGGCAUGCUGGAGGUAUCAGAAGUGCGAAUGCUGACAUAAGUAACGAUAAAGCGGGUGAAAAGCCCGCUCGCCGGAAGACCAAGGGUUCCUGUCCAACGUUAAUCGGGGCAGGGUGAGUCGACCCCUAAGGCGAGGCCGAAAGGCGUAGUCGAUGGGAAACAGGUUAAUAUUCCUGUACUUGGUGUUACUGCGAAGGGGGGACGGAGAAGGCUAUGUUGGCCGGGCGACGGUUGUCCCGGUUUAAGCGUGUAGGCUGGUUUUCCAGGCAAAUCCGGAAAAUCAAGGCUGAGGCGUGAUGACGAGGCACUACGGUGCUGAAGCAACAAAUGCCCUGCUUCCAGGAAAAGCCUCUAAGCAUCAGGUAACAUCAAAUCGUACCCCAAACCGACACAGGUGGUCAGGUAGAGAAUACCAAGGCGCUUGAGAGAACUCGGGUGAAGGAACUAGGCAAAAUGGUGCCGUAACUUCGGGAGAAGGCACGCUGAUAUGUAGGUGAAGCGACUUGCUCGUGGAGCUGAAAUCAGUCGAAGAUACCAGCUGGCUGCAACUGUUUAUUAAAAACACAGCACUGUGCAAACACGAAAGUGGACGUAUACGGUGUGACGCCUGCCCGGUGCCGGAAGGUUAAUUGAUGGGGUCAGCGCAAGCGAAGCUCUUGAUCGAAGCCCCGGUAAACGGCGGCCGUAACUAUAACGGUCCUAAGGUAGCGAAAUUCCUUGUCGGGUAAGUUCCGACCUGCACGAAUGGCGUAAUGAUGGCCAGGCUGUCUCCACCCGAGACUCAGUGAAAUUGAACUCGCUGUGAAGAUGCAGUGUACCCGCGGCAAGACGGAAAGACCCCGUGAACCUUUACUAUAGCUUGACACUGAACAUUGAGCCUUGAUGUGUAGGAUAGGUGGGAGGCUUUGAAGUGUGGACGCCAGUCUGCAUGGAGCCGACCUUGAAAUACCACCCUUUAAUGUUUGAUGUUCUAACGUUGACCCGUAAUCCGGGUUGCGGACAGUGUCUGGUGGGUAGUUUGACUGGGGCGGUCUCCUCCUAAAGAGUAACGGAGGAGCACGAAGGUUGGCUAAUCCUGGUCGGACAUCAGGAGGUUAGUGCAAUGGCAUAAGC